GACGAACGCUGGCGGCGUGCCUAAUACAUGCAAGUCGAGCGGGGAUUAUGCUUGAUCGCUUCGGUGAGACGGCAUAUAUCCUAGCGGCGGACGGGGUGAGUAACGCGUGGGUAAUCUACCUCGUAGUUCGGGAUAACAGGCCGAAAGGCUUGCUAAUACCGGAUGAGUUCAUGCUUAUGCAUAUAGGCGUGAAGAAAGGGCUAGCCCGCUAUGAGAUGAGCCCGCGUCCCAUUAGCUUGUUGGUGGGGUAAUGGCCUACCAAGGCAACGAUGGGUAGCCGGCCUGAGAGGGUGUACGGCCACACUGGGACUGAGACACGGCCCAGACUCCUACGGGGGCAGCAGUAGGGAAUUUUCGGCAAUGGGCGAAAGCCUGACCGAGCGACGCCGCGUGAGGGACGAAGGCCUCGGUUGUAACGUACUGUCUGGGGAGUGAGACGGACGGUACCCCGGACGGAAGCCCGGCGUAACUACGUGCCAGCAGCCGCGGUAAAGUACUACUAU
rnacentral:rRNA from 1 species